GCCUGGGUGGCUCAGUCGGUAAAGCGUCUGACUUCAGCUCAGGUCGUGAUCUCGCGGUCCGUGAGUUCAAGCCCCGCAUCGGGCC
rnacentral:tRNA from 1 species